rnacentral:misc_RNA from 1 species
AAUAGCAGCGGUUUAUUCACUCACUGGUCGGCCCAGUGCAUUUGGAGCCGGUUCGGUCUGGCUCGGGGAUCUCCACGCCGAGGAAGAGAGAGAAUUACUCGUGGAAAUGAAAGUGCCCACUUCCUCUAUCGGGUCUCACCAUGUAUUAUCCGUACAGUCAUCCUUUAAAGACCCAUCAUCGCAGGAGCCAAUCUUAUCUAAAGAAAAAGCACUGUUAAUACCUCGCCCUCAAACCGUUCGAUCAUCAGUACCUAAUAUCCAACGGCUGAAGGACCUCCACAUCACUACCAGGGCAAUAGCUGAAUCUCAGCGAUUAACGGAUCAUAGCGAUUUAUCUGGAGCUUAUCAUUUG